rnacentral:lncRNA from 1 species
UAACACUACUUAAGCUGCACCCCAGAGAUUUUGGAUCCACAAGAUGCUGCUGCUGCUUUGUGGCUGCAGGAUUCUGGUCUCAGGAAAACCCUCCAUUCAUUUUUUGCAUCAAUGUAGAAACUGAGGACCACAGGAUGAAGUUCGUUCUGAAAGAAAAUAUGGAGUUUUAACUAAAGACAGACAAGAAAUGUGAAGAGGCAAUCCAUGCAACAGAAAAUAAGAAAGAAAGAAUUUUGGUGACUUGGUAUAAUUAAUGAAAUCACAUUGAAGAUUGAAUUUUUCCAUAAUACCCUGUCAAUGAAAGGCCAAUCUAAACUUUUCUACAGGAGAUAGCAUGGGCUAUGAAUACAUGUUCUCGGCUUCCCCUAUUAGCCAACACUAAUAUCCCAUGGCUAAAAACAGUGACAGGCCUUAGAGUUACUCUAAGAAAAACUCUGGAAGCCAAGUAUAUGUGUGCAAGUUGUUAAGUAAGGAGGGGAAAGGCCCUUACAUCCUUACAGUCGAGAGACUGAUAUCUGGGAAUUGCAUCCUGCUUUUGCUACUGACUAGCA